ACAUGAUCCCUUUAGGAGCUGUGAUAAUAUUAAUUCUCUGUUCAUCUUGCAGUUCAAAUAUUAUGCAGAAACCCAAUGAGGAUGUUUUAGCAGGAGAAGAUGUUAACCUCACCUGCGAACACCCCUUUCUUACUACUGGUGACUAUAUUCACUGGUACAAAAUGAUCCCUGGUCAGGGACUCAGAUUCCUAAUUAGUGGAUUCCAGCUAAUUGCAAACACUGAAUAUAAACUAGUAUUUGCUGAAGACAGAAAGUCCAGCGUUCUCCUUAUGCAGAACAUCAGACCUGAGCAGAGUGCAGUGUAUCUCUGUGCUUCAAGUGACACAGUGCUACAGACAAACUCACAGCCUGUAUAAUAUGUGAUCUAGUGAUAGCUGAGAGAAAUCUUACUCAUAACU